UACAGGGGGGGCAAGCGUUGUUCGGAAUUACUGGGCGUAAAGGGCCAGUAGGCGGCCAACUAAGUCCGACGUGAAAUCCCAAGGCUUAACCUUGGAACUGCGUCGGAUACUGGAUGGCUUGAAUUCGGGAGAGGGAUGCAGAAUUCCAGGUGUAGCGGUGAAAUGCGUAGAUAUCUGGAGGAAUACCGGUGGCGAAGGCGGCAUCCUGGACCGACAUUGACGCUGAGGAGCGAAAGCUAGGGGAGCAAACGGG
rnacentral:rRNA from 1 species